rnacentral:lncRNA from 1 species
AGACACUGCAGGGGCAGUGAUGGAUGUGAAGGCUGGGGAGGCUGGGGGCCUGAGAGUCUCACCGGCUUUGCCUUCUCGUAGAUAGGCAGGCUCCAGGGAUGCUGCCGCUCUUUCACCAGCACUCUCUGCCCACCAGAGCCCUUCUUCCUUGGGCGAUCAGUCCUAAAGCCGCCAUUUGCACGUGAAUCUCUGAGCAACCCUGGACCUGUCUGGAGCCCUUUCGAUUAUCACAUUAGGGGGCUCGGCAUAUGGUGCCCUCCUCAGCAAGACAGAUCCAAAGCCUGCACUCUGAAACAAGAAGCAGGCGGGGUUGAGGAGAAGGGCCUGCAUUCAUUCAUUGCCAUGACAUUCCACGCCGGGCUGCUUUGGAGGCAAAGAGUUGAAAAGAACACAAGCCCAGCAAAGAAGAGAGACUUCAGGGAGAGGCCAGUGCAGGUGUGGUGGCGAGGGCCAGAGGACGUCAUGGGCUCAUGAGUUCUUCCUAAACAUUGAAGGGUCUUCGUCAUGGGCCCUAAUUCUCUGGGGAAUCUGUGAUCUCCUGGAUGUCUGUGAAUCCCCUCUAGGGGCAGAUUGGAGCCUUUCUAUCCUAUUGGGCAAUCUUCAGAGGUCUGUAUCAGACUCUAAAUCUCCAUCAUCUAAGAGAGAAUCUGAUGUAGAAGUGCCCUCUGAAAGUGGAGGUCAGUCCUCAUUCACACCUCCCCCUCCUGUGGUCUGCUUUCCUAUGACCUCCCGAAGUUUAGGAGGUCAGAGAGGAAUUCAUGCCCUUGGAACCAUCCUUACUUCCUUACAUUCCAUGGCUAUGAAAAGCUCAUGCCCCAUAGGUCCACUUGCACUUUCCCCACACAUUAGCUGUGUAGGAUUUAAGAUACCCUCUUCUGAUGCAUCUAAUGGUAGCCAUCUCUAGGGUGGGCUAGGGAGGGAAGAAAAAAAAGGAGGAGAAAGGGGGAAAAAGAAAUUUAC